UCGGCAAGGGAUGGGGUCGCGGCCUAUCAGCUUGUUGGUGGGGUAAUGGCCUACCAAGGCGACGACGGGUAGCCGGCCUGAGAGGGCGACCGGCCACACUGGGACUGAGACACGGCCCAG
rnacentral:rRNA from 1 species